AAUGUUUGUCGCGUAUUGACCGGCCAUCCAACGCGGUGGCACCCCGAGAAUUUCGAAAACUGCAAUUGCAUAGACAGAGCGAUGCAUGACGGUUUACUUCGGGGGUGGUGGUGGAAGUCGGGGGGAGUGAAAAGGAG